rnacentral:rRNA from 1 species
GAUGAACGCUGGCGGCGUGCCUAAUACAUGCAAGUCGAGCGAACAGAUGAGGAGCUUGCUCCUCUGACGUUAGCGGCGGACGGGUGAGUAACACGUGGAUAACCUACCUAUAAGCCUGGGAUAACUUCGGGAAACCGGAGCUAAUACCGGAUAAUAUAUUGAACCGCAUGGUUCAAUAUUGAAAGACGGUUUUGCUGUCACUUAUAGAUGUCUCCGCUCCACAUUACCUAUUUGGUAAGGUAACGGCUUACCAAGGCAACGUUCCGUAGCCAACCUGAGAGGGUGAUCGGCCACAUUGGAACGGAGACAGGCUCCAGACUCCUACGGGAGGCAGAGGAAGGGAAUCUUCGGCAAUGGGCGAAAGCCUGACGGAGCAACGCCGCGGGAGUAAGGAGGGUCUUCGAUUCGAAAAACUCUGUUAUUAGGGAAAAACAAAUGUGGAAGUAACUAUGCACGUCUUGACGGUACCUAAUCAGAAAGCCACGGCUAACUACGUG